UGAGGAACAUGACCUUCGGCGGGGGAUAGCCGGCCCAACGGCCGGGUAAUACCGCGUACGACCACUUUGGGACAUCCCUAGGUGGUGAAAGCAGCAAUGCGCCGAUGGAGUGCCUCGCGGCCUAUCAGCUAGUUGGUGAGGUAACGGCUCACCAAGGCGACGACGGGUAGCUGGUCUGAGAGGAUGGCCAGCCACAGUUGGGACUGAGACACGGCCCAGACCUCCGUACGGGGAGCAG
rnacentral:rRNA from 1 species